GAGGGUAUAGCUCAGGGGUAGAAUGUGUGCUUAGUAUGCAUGAGGUCCUGGGUUCAAUCCCCAGUACCUCCA
rnacentral:tRNA from 1 species